GCUCUUUUAGCUCAGUUGGUUAGAGCACAUGUUUAGUAAGUGGGAGGUCUGGAGUUCAAUUCUCAACAAGAGCA
rfam:Ipomoea nil DNA, scaffold: scaffold2165, cultivar: Tokyo-kokei standard.